rnacentral:misc_RNA from 1 species
GAUUUAUCGCUUAUCAAGAAUAGCAGUGACAGACCAUGAUUACAUGAAAAUUCAAUGACCGAAUGUUUAAUGUAUUAUUAUUUAUCAUCCUCCACCAGGGAGGCAUUAUAUCAUCUGCUGGAUUUUACUUGACGAUUCGUAUUUUUUAGCUCUUUAAGCUCAUGUGCAAUGACGGAGCGAAGGGCUAGGCCAUAUCCUCCUAACUUUAUGAAAAUUAUAGUUUUAGUAUAGUGUUAUAGAUUUAAAAUUAAAAUGGC